rnacentral:rRNA from 1 species
AGGUUAAGCAGUAAAUGUGGAGCCGUAGCGAAAGCGAGUCUGAAUAGGGCGUUUAGUAUUUGGUCGUAGACCCGAAACCAGGUGAUCUACCCUUGGUCAGGUUGAAGUUCAGGUAACACUGAAUGGAGGACCGAACCGACUUACGUUGAAAAGUGAGCGGAUGAACUGAGGGUAGCGGAGAAAUUCCAAUCGAACCUGGAGAUAGCUGGUUCUCUCCGAAAUAGCUUUAGGGCUAGCCUCAAGUGAUGAUUAUUGGAGGUAGAGCACUGUUUGGACGAGGGGCCCCUCUCGGGUUACCGAAUUCAGACAAACUCCGAAUGCCAAUUAAUUUAACUUGGGAGUCAGAACAUGGGUGAUAAGGUCCGUGUUCGAAAGGGAAACAGCCCAGACCACCAGCUAAGGUCCCAAAAUAUAUGUUAAGUGGAAAAGGAUGUGGCGUUGCCCAGACAACUAGGAUGUUGGCUUAGAAGCAGCCAUCAUUUAAAGAGUGCGUAAUAGCUCACUAGUCGAGUGACACUGCGCCGAAAAUGUACCGGGGCUAAACAUAUUACCGAAGCUGUGGAUUGUCCUUUGGACAAUGGUAGGAGAGCGUUCUAAGGGCGUUGAAGCAUGAUCGUAAGGACAUGUGGAGCGCUUAGAAGUGAGAAUGCCGGUGUGAGUAGCGAAAGACGGGUGAGAAUCCCGUCCACCGAUUGACUAAGGUUUCCAGAGGAAGGCUCGUCCGCUCUGGGUUAGUCGGGUCCUAAGCUGAGGCCGACAGGCGUAGGCGAUGGAUAACAGGUUGAUAUUCCUGUACCACCUAUAAUCGUUUUAAUCGAUGGGGGGACGCAGUAGGAUAGGCGAAGCGUGCGAUUGGAUUGCACGUCUAAGCAGUAAGGCUGAGUAUUAGGCAAAUCCGGUACUCGUUAAGGCUGAGCUGUGAUGGGGAGAAGACAUUGUGUCUUCGAGUCGUUGAUUUCACACUGCCGAGAAAAGCCUCUAGAUAGAAAAUAGGUGCCCGUACCGCAAACCGACACAGGUAGUCAAGAUGAGAAUUCUAAGGUGAGCGAGCGAACUCUCGUUAAGGAACUCGGCAAAAUGACCCCGUAACUUCGGGAGAAGGGGUGCUCUUUAGGGUUAACGCCCAGAAGAGCCGCAGUGAAUAGGCCCAAGCGACUGUUUAUCAAAAACACAGGUCUCUGCUAAACCGUAAGGUGAUGUAUAGGGGCUGACGCCUGCCCGGUGCUGGAAGGUUAAGAGGAGUGGUUAGCUUCUGCGAAGCUACGAAUCGAAGCCCCAGUAAACGGCGGCCGUAACUAUAACGGUCCUAAGGUAGCGAAAUUCCUUGUCGGGUAAGUUCCGACCCGCACGAAAGGCGUAACGAUUUGGGCACUGUCUCAACGAGAGACUCGGUGAAAUCAUAGUACCUGUGAAGAUGCAGGUUACCCGCGACAGGACGGAAAGACCCCGUGGAGCUUUACUGUAGCCUGAUAUUGAAAUUCGGCACAGCUUGUACAGGAUAGGUAGGAGCCUUUGAAACGUGAGCGCUAGCUUACGUGGAGGCGCUGGUGGGAUACUACCCUAGCUGUGUUGGCUUUCUAACCCGCACCACUUAUCGUGGUGGGAGACAGUGUCAGGCGGGCAGUUUGACUGGGGCGGUCGCCUCCUAAAAGGUAACGGAGGCGCUCAAAGGUUCCCUCAGAAUGGUUGGAAAUCAUUCAUAGAGUGUAAAGGCAUAAGGGAGCUUGACUGCGAGACCUACAAGUCGAGCAGGGUCGAAAGACGGACUUAGUGAUCCGGUGGUUCCGCAUGGAAGGGCCAUCGCUCAACGGAUAAAAGCUACCCCGGGGAUAACAGGCUUAUCUCCCCCAAGAGUUCACAUCGACGGGGAGGUUUGGCACCUCGAUGUCGGCUCAUCGCAUCCUGGGGCUGUAGUCGGUCCCAAGGGUUGGGCUGUUCGCCCAUUAAAGCGGUACGCGAGCUGGGUUCAGAACGUCGUGAGACAGUUCGGUCCCUAUCCGUCGUGGGCGUAGGAAAUUUGAGAGGAGCUGUCCUUAGUACGAGAGGACCGGGAUGGACAUACCUCUGGUGUACCAGUUGUCGUGCCAACGGCAUAGCUGGGUAGCUAUGUGUGGACGGGAUAAGUGCUGAAAGCAUCUAAGCAUGAAGCCCCCCUCAAGAUGAGAUUUCCCAACUUCGGUUAUAAGAUCCCUCAAAGAUGAUGAGGUUAAUAGGUUCGAGGUGGAAGCAUGGUGACAUGUGGAGCUGACGAAUACUAAUCGAUCGAAGACUUAAUCAA